rnacentral:lncRNA from 1 species
AUCUUGAAAAUGCCUCGUGUGGCUUCCACAAAAAUAUGAAGCUGUUUUCACUAUUGAUAAUAGGUGAACUAUCCCAUUAAGUAUUUUUCUAUUGUUUUACAGUUUUCCCCUGCAGACAUGUCAGAGUUUAAAGUGGGUGCAGAUAUAGAGGCAGCUUCCUCAGAUCCAGGUUCGACCUUGUUAAAACCCAGUUUGUAUUCUUUGACCCAAGGCUCCUGCUGUGCUAACAGUACAUGCUCUCAUCUGUCAGGUCAACAGCAGAGCACCAUUCCCUGUGUGAGUGAAGAGGAACUGGCCAAGUUUGUGUCUCUGACGCCUCUGUCCAAAACACUGCAGGAGAUAAAGGAAUCACUCCAGAUUCUCGCCCACACGCCCAAGACAGAGGACGGUCAGUACACAUUUGUGCAUUUGAAUUCAGUGAGCUAGUAGAAAUGCACUUUUAAUGAAUUAAGUUGAUACAUAACAAUUAAAAAUAUAAUAUAAAAUAUGAUUUAUUUAUAUUUAUAUUUUAUUUAUCUAUUUUAUCAUUUCGGGUGCCAUGUAAUGUCUUCUGAUUGUUUCAGAGUUUUGUAAUGACCUACAUCCGCUUUCUUCUCCUUCAGUUAUUAUCAUCCCAGCAGAGAGUGAACUGUCGCACCUGUUCCCUGUUGCCCUUGACAACCUUUCCCCACAGCAUUUUGCUGUCUUCCUGUUUGGCUACCAUGUUGUGCAUUUUCUGAGCAGAGCUUGUUCCUUCCCCCCGUCAUGCUGCAAUUGGCCAGGACGGUGCCAGCCUCUCACUGUGAUAACCUGCUGGCCUGCUGCCAUAAAGACUUUUAUUACUACACAGAAGCUUCAAAACGCUGGCCAGUUCUUCUCCGUUCUCUUACACUCAAUGACCUAUAUAACCUCAGGUGCUGUGUGUGGAAAGAGAAAUAAACAGACUUGAUGAAGUUUACCAGCAGCUCUCCUCUGGGCUCCACAGGGCAAUGCACAUACACAGCCCACCAGAGAAGAAAGAGUCCAGGUCUGACAAACAGCUUCAGGAGCAGCAGAUGAUGCUGGAGCUGCAGAAGUGUACAGUGGAUCAGAAACUGAAGGAGAUGAGAGACAGACUUUCUAAACUGAGCUCAAGCCAGCGAGCGAGUCCUAAUGAAGUCAGACCAGCUCACAGCACAGUCCUGGCUCAGGAAGACAGCCAGACACCCAGCAAAUGCAAACCAGACAGUGGAGAACCAGAGAAACCUGCUGCAGGACAGUCCAGCAACAGGAAAAAGCAAAGCAAGCAUAUGGACAAACAUGAGGAAAAGGGUGUGACUGCAUGAGGAAUAAUGUUUGAAAAUGAUGAUUAUUAUAAAAAUACAAAAAUGUCUCCUCACUUGUCACAUGUAGAUUUUGUAGCUGUUUGUGACAAAAACUCACACGGAGGAGAACCUCUGGUUUAAAAGCAGUGUUAUCCUAAACAACUUAGCAAAUGUACUCAUAACCUUAAAACUGUGAUUCGUUAUUUUAUUGGUUUAUUUUUUCAUUUCCAUGAAUGUAUGCAUGUAUUUACACCACUGUUCAAGAAUUUAGGGUUGGUAAGAUUCUUAAAUUAAAAGUUCAAGAGAACACUAAUUAUUUGAAGUAGAAGUCUAUUGUAUUAUAAAUGUCUUUACUUCACUUUUGAUCAGUUUGACAUCAUGCUGUAUAGUAUUAAUGCAUAGGUAUUAAUAUCUUUCAAAAAAUCUUACUGAGUGUGUUUAUGAAUUAGCUUUAUUUCUUAAUAUGAUUUUAUUAAGUCUAAAUCUAAAUGUAUAAAAAUAAAUCUAAGUUAUUAAAAAUAUUGUGUCAAUAUAUUUAUGCUAAAAAGUGACUCACAAGUCAGUAUACAAGAACCAGGGAAAUGUUACUAAUUAAACAUACUAUGCACUUCUGAGCAGUGAUAUUUGUAGCAUGUUUU